AUUGAACGCUAGCGGCAGGCCUAACACAUGCAAGUCGAACGAGUGGCGGACGGGUGAGUAAUGUCUGGGAAACUGCCUGAUGGAGGGGGAUAACUACUGGAAACGGUAGCUAAUACCGCAUACCAUCGGAUGUGCCCAGAGGGGAUUAGCUCGUAGGUGGGGUAACGGCUCACCUAGGCGACGAUCCCUAGCUGGUCUGAGAGGAUGACCAGCAACACUGGAACUGAGACACGGUCCAGACUCCUACGGGAGGGAGCAGAGGGGAAUAUUGCACAAUGGGCGCAAGCCUGAUGCAGCCAGGCCGAGUGUAUGAAGAAGGCCUUCGGGUUGCAAAGUACUUUCAGCGGAGAGGCGUUACCCGCAGAAGCAGCACCGGCUAACUUCGUGCCAGCAGCCGCGGUAAUUC
rnacentral:rRNA from 1 species